rnacentral:lncRNA from 11 species
CCGGGGCUGCCGCACGUGGCCUCCUCUUCGGGGCUCCCCUCCCCCGCGACGGGGGCGGGUUCGCGCGCUCCCGCCUUCCUGCCUUCCUUCCUUCCUGCCUGCUUUUCCUCCCUCCCUCCCUCCCUCCUGCCUGCCUGCCUUCUUCUCCGGCUCGCUCGCUGCCUCGCUCGCUGGCUCGGGGCUCCAGGAGGCUGGGGCGCAGCCGCGUGCUCUGCCUUACUGCCUGCCUGCCAAGCCGGAGCCAGGUCUUCCUGCUCCUCCUCCUCCUCCUGCUGCUGCUCCUGGGCUGCCCCGGGGAUGCCGCUGGGAGCGAAGGGACCCGGGGCUCCUCCGUCCGCCUGGCCCCGCCGCGGGGGCGACUGAGAGCGUGGGAGAUCUGCAGCCUGUCCGAGGAUCCUGAUGGCUUUCCAGUCCAGCACAGAGUACUUGUAGCUGUAAUAGAUCUUUAGACAUCUACUAGAAGCAGCACAGUUCCUUGAUAUCCCAGCUCAUGUGAAGCUAUAGUCUGGAGAUACUGCUGGAAGAUAUAAUUACAGGAAGGUGCUGAAAUACUGAUGAAGACUCUGUGUUUCAGGUGCUUUUGCUGGUCUGAGUGUGCCUGUAAUCGGGGUAAGGUGGAGAAAGAGAAGAGGUCAGCAUUAAAAUUGUACAUAGUGUGGCCAUGUAAGCUGUUGCUGGUCAAGAGCAGAGAGCCUUGAUGAUGAUAUUCACUCAAUGGUUCUGGUGCACACAAUAUUGUUGCAUCUCAGGUCACUUCUUGGUUGUGUUGUUC